GUCAGUGCCCUUGGGAUUUUGUCUAAAUGUCUUAUUUCUACAGGAGGCAGAAGCGAAGCAAGGAACUAUACCUCUGUCUUCAAGCGUUGUCAUGAAUUUUGGAUUGUCAGCUGAAAACACAAACAGAAAAACAGCAGCUGCAGGCAAGAGGUAAUGCUUCACUGAAAGAAGAAACAGAUGAAAAGAAAAUAAGAAAUCAGGGAAGAAUCCAUUUCAUCCCAAAGGUAAGUUUUCUUGUCCCCUUUAUUGAAGGCAGUUUCAUUACAUUGGCACUUGUAAUACCUGUUUCUUUCUUGAGGACUCCUGAACACAGCCACAUUCUCUGAAGAUUUUUGAAAUUGCAUUUAAAUUAAUCGAAUUUCUGUGUUUAUGAAUUUCUGUGAAGCUCAAUGGAUAUGGAAAGGAGGGAUAUGUGGGUAAGGAAAAAUCAUGUACAACAGGUAGGGUGUUUCAGAAUGUUUUGAUGUUGCUUAGGAAGUUCAAAGAAAAAAAAAUCUUUCUAAUUCUUUGAUGUUUUCUAGUAAGGAAGGAAGGGAAUUAAAUUGCAAGUGGAGCAUGGUUUUAAAACAGAGCCUUGAUAUUUAGGGACAAAAGAAAUCAUCCCCCAAAAUCGAGUGCAUAAAUAAAAGAAUCCUAUUAAAACAGAAAAAUAUAACCUACUAAAAUCUUUCUUAUAAUGUGCAAAGUGGUGCCAUCAGAAAGCAGACAAACAAUUAAACAAACAUGAUCUUGCAUCUUGAUUAUCCUUCAAAUCUAAGCACACUUGCGUAUUUUUUUUCAAAAGUUAUUCCAUAACCUCUUUAAUUCUCUUCCUCACUUUCUGAACAAGCUCCAAAAUUCAAACCAUGAAAGUGUCUUCUUUUCUUUUCAUUUAUUCUCUGUUUUAUAUUGAACUGUUCAAAAUAAUCUGUUAGUCAUUAAGAGAAAACAAUGGCUCACUGAAAACCCUUGAGAAAGUAGGAAAUAAAUAAAAUGUUAGUAAAGGAAUGAUAAACAUCUUCCUAAUAAACUCACUUGCAGAUCUGUAGCUCCACCUAGAGGAGGAGCUAGGAGAAGGAAGAAAAGGAGGAGGAGUGAAAGGAGGAGGAGGAAGAAGAGGAAGGUGUCUUCACACCUCUGCAAUGAGAAGCUGAGCAAGGACGGAUGCUGCAGGAGCAGCGAAGGGGAUCCUUCAUGCGGUCCUCCCUCCGCAGCUCCUAACUUACGGUCCCCUUCCCUUAGGGUACCGGCGGUGGGGCGCCUGGCCCUGAGGGGCGGGCAGGUGAGGCGAGACCUGCUGGGCUGCUCGGGGACCGGGAGGGAAGAGGGGAGGAAGGGGGGCAGCGAAAUUAAAUUAAAAAAAAAAAAAAGAGAGAAUCAAUACAAAGGCUCAGCAGCCCGUACGAGGCGAAAUCAAGCCUGCUCCGCCGCUGGUCACACACAAGCCCUGGCAAAAGGCGAAAGCGCUGCACACGCACAAAGUGCACUGCGGUUGCCGGGGUCUCCUUGCACACCACCCCGGCGGCGCACGUCCGCACACCCUCCCUUGCACGCACCCGCGGAGGAGCAUAACNNNNNNNNNNNNNNNNNNNNGGAUGUGUGUGUGUGUGGAAAGAGCGGGGGGGGGCGAAGGGGGGGAAAUCAAAUAAAUAAAUAA
ensembl:lncRNA